UACGAAGGGGGCAAGCGUUGUUCGGAAUUACUGGGCGUAAAGGGCUCGUAGGCGGCCAACUAAGUCACACGUGAAAUCCCCAGGCUCAACCUGGGAACUGCGUGUGAUACUGGAUGGCUUGAAUUCGGGAGAGGGAUGCAGAAUUCCAGGUGUAGCGGUGAAAUGCGUAGAUAUCUGGAGGAACACCGGUGGCGAAGGCGGCACCCUGGACCAAUACUGACGCUGAGGAGCGAAAGCCAGGGGAGCAAACAGG
rnacentral:rRNA from 1 species